rnacentral:rRNA from 1 species
UACGUAGGGUGCAAGCGUUAUCCGGAAUUAUUGGGCGUAAAGAGCUCGUAGGCGGUUUGUCGCGUCUGCUGUGAAAACUGGAGGCUCAACCUCCAGCCUGCAGUGGGUACGGGCAAACUAGAGUGCGGUAGGGGAGAUUGGAAUUCCUGGUGUAGCGGUGGAAUACGCAGAUAUCAGGAGGAACACCGAUGGCGAAGGCAGAUCUCUGGGCCGUAACUGACGCUGAGGAGCGAAAGCAUGGGGAGCGAACAGG